GACGAACGCUGGCGGCGUGCUUAACACAUGCAAGUCGAACGGAAAGGCCCUGCUUUUGUGGGGUGCUCGAGUGGCGAACGGGUGAGUAACACGUGAGUAACCUGCCCUUGACUUUGGGAUAACUUCAGGAAACUGGGGCUAAUACCGGAUAGGAGCUCCUGCUGCAUGGUGGGGGUUGGAAAGUUUCGGCGGUUGGGGAUGGACUCGCGGCUUAUCAGCUUGUUGGUGGGGUAGUGGCUUACCAAGGCUUUGACGGGUAGCCGGCCUGAGAGGGUGACCGGCCACAUUGGGACUGAGAUACGGCCCAGACUCCUACGGGAGGCAGCAGUGGGGAAUAGUGCACAAUGGGCUGAAGCCUGAUGCAGCAACGCCGCGUGCGGGAUGACGGCCUUCGGUUUGUAAACCGCUUUCGCCUGUGACGAAGCGUGAGUGACGGUAAUGGGUAAAGAAGCACCGGCUAACUACGUG
rnacentral:rRNA from 1 species